CACGUCACCGCGUCCCCGACCGACACCGUCAGCGAGGCGGGAUUCCACGCAUACCCCUGUCCAUAAGCUGCAACAGACAAAAGGUAACAGACAAACUAUUGCCUGUGUGAAAACACCUUCCAUGGCAUCUAUACCUCGUCCGGGGGUGGCCAUUGUUUCCAAGCUGCACUUCCACCUUGUGCGUGCCCGGCGGCAGCGCGGGGAGACGACAGGGAUCCAAACAACACACCCGCCAUGACCGCUUAACACCCCGGGGAUCCACCAAUCUAAAGAGCAAAGAAGAGUGUGACCUGGAUCAGAGGCUGGUCUCCGGCUUUGUUCAGCCACUCGAUCCUCCACUUGGGGUCUCUGCAGCUUCCCUGCCUCUGCACGCUGACCUCACCCAUCCCUGCGAUUCCCUGUAGAGCGAACUUCAGGUCCUCCUGGCUGAUGUCCACUGACAGACCUGACAACACACCUCCCUGUUAAAGCAACUAUUGCCCGUGUUGUAGAAGCCGCCAGUGGCCGGAUUUAACUAAGUAAAUUUACUAAAGAACCGUAAAGUAAUAAAGAAUAUUACUUUACUUUCGCGCUCUUACCUUCGGCUCGGCCUCCGUAGAUCUCCACGUCGAAGGUGCCGUUCAGAGGAGGCGUGGCUCUGUGGAGGCGGGUGAUGCUGACCGCGGCUGCUCCGUCCCCGAACUCCGCCGCGUCCUCCCUGCUGUUGGACAUCUAUGCAGGUGGAGAAGGGAAAUAGAUUAAAAAGACACAAUCCAAUGCAGGCGUGCUGGAUGUCUGGAUGGAAACUUUUUUUGUCCAAAAUUGUCCCUUUGUGAAAAUCAUUUUUAUAGUGUAAAUGUUUGUGUUUAUAUCUUUUUAUCUGUUUUUUUCUUGUUGAGUUUCAUACAGUAUAUCUAAGGCAAGCCAUGGAAAACUAGGUCAGCUUUAAGCAGCACUGCUACCCGGUAUGUUCUUAGAAUUAUGAUAUCAUCAAGAUGACAUAUUAGCUUAGUAAAGAUAAUCCCUGUUUUUGAUGUAUUACUUAAUCACACUUCAGCUUUUGGGAAAUCAUUACACAAAUGACGUCUUAACACUUUUAAGGUCACACUUUUCCCGACCAGCCCCUGUGCGCAGUCUACAAUCCGUCCAUCUUGAAUGCACAGCAUGCCGAGGCAUGAGACACUUACUGGAUCCCGCUGCGCACUAAGCUUUAUCCCGCGGGCUGUAUUCAUGAGUCACACUGCUGAAGAUGACACCUGGCUUUCCUUAUGUUUGCUGUCUCGGAGAAACACAAUCUGGAUAAAUCCCACUAUUUAGCUCA